GGUGCAGCUGCGUCCCCGCCGCUCAGCAGUCCGCGGCUCCGGCGUCGCCGCCGCCGCCGCCUCUGCGGGGCCUGCGCCGGCCGCCCGCCCGCCCGGCCGCGGGGAGGGAGGCCCGGUCGCGGGCGCCGCCACCGCCGCCGCCGCUGCCAGGACUGAAAUGCAACUGCAGAAGCAACAUGCGACCUUUUAAAGAUGCUUGUGGGACUGCAUAAAGUGAAGAGGGAAACUGGAAAAAACAAUGAA
rnacentral:sRNA from 1 species